CCGGUGGCGGUCGGCCAUGUGAAGGUGGCCAUCUUGGCCGGCCAGCGAGGGCUCCUCACGGCCUUCCUUCGGCGUCCCUGCCCGGCUCGUUGCCGGCCCCGGGAUAUCUGAGGGGCGCAGGCCCACCUUCUAGUCGUUUCCUGGUGAAUGGCUCUGCUGAAGAUGGCCGGAAAGCAGAUUAAUGAAGUGGCUUUCAAUUGCUGUCGGGAUACGGACUAAAAUCUCUACAUACUCAAGGCCCCAGUGUGAUUUGGCUGCUACUUCUGCAACCUUACCU
rnacentral:lncRNA from 10 species